UUGCGACCCCAGGUCAGGCGGGAACACCUGCUGAGUUUAA
rnacentral:rRNA from 1 species